CUCCAGAGUCCAGGAGAGACAUAUGAAAUGAACUACCCCAACCUUCUGAUAAGAUUUCUUCCACUUUCCGGAGUUGAUUGGACUGGAAAUGUUCGAAUCGGGUGCAAAGAAACAGGCUUUGAAGCCGAGUUACAAUUUGGACCCAAGUCUUUCCUUGGCCUUAGAGGAAGCCAUGGAUCAGUUAAAGGAAAGAUCUAUGAAACAUCAACAUAGAGGAUCCUUUUCGAACUCAAUGGUCAUUGGGAUAGAACAGUGACAGUGAAGGACAAUAAUAGUGGGAAGUUGAGGGGGCUAUAUACAAUGCAGAAGAAGUCUAUUCAGGGCUGAGGACUCCUGUAGUUAAAGAUCUGCAGGGAGUGGAGCCAACCGAAUCGGCAGCAGUGUGGAACACGGUGAGCAAGGCCAUAAUGAGCCAGAAUUGGGAGAAGGCAAAAGAAGCAAAGAACACAGUCGAGGAAAACCAGAGGAAGGUGUUGAGAGAAAUGGAGGCCAAAGAAAAAACCUGGGUUCCACAGAAUUUCAGUUUGAGUUACAGAAAAGAUGGUGGCUGGGAAUGCUCACCUACACGACGAUGGGUUCCACCUGCUCCUAUUGUUGUUCCUCUUACAUAACCCUUGGUUAAGAAAUAUUAGAAGAUUGAAACAACCUUAAGCAGAUCUUAUACUAA